GGAGUUUAUAUGUAAAGCCAAAACAAAAUAUGUGAGUUCCCGGUUUCCCGACCCUACCUAGCUUUUGGACGUCGAAAUCCAGACCCUAAACUUUUUUUAUUGGAUCAUGCUUGUAAGUAACUGUAAUCAGUUCUUUGAAUUCAAAAUAACACCAUUUUCCUGAAUGAUAAACCGCGGUCCGCGAUGUAUUUCCAUAUAUCAAAAGCAUUCCCUGUCUCGAGGGGUAUGGGCUCUAAUUCAAUAUUGCGACAAUUCACCUUCAGCCACUCCAUGUUUUGCAAAUAUCAGCUGGCGUUAAUAAAUGGUGUCUCCCAGAAACAAUCGUCGUGUUGCUCAACGUAAUACUGAAAUCGUCUGCAUUUUCCGCACGUCUUGAUGCCACAGCGAUA